AUGACCAUGGGUCAAUAGUUGGUUUUGUUAGAACAAUACAGAGAAUAUUAGCAUAGUCCCUGUGCAAGGAUUACAGGCAAAUUCGUGAACCGCUCCAUAUUUAA
ensembl:snRNA U6 U6 spliceosomal RNA